rnacentral:lncRNA from 1 species
AUCAAUGUAUAUAUACCUUUAGAAAACGUGGCAGUCACAUGGCUUAAGUCAUAAGAAGUAGACAAGUGAUACAAUUUGAGAAUGUAAAAGGAAUCAAAAGCAAUGUGGUCUUCUUGGAGAAGUUUAUCGCUCGAAGACCUUUGUGAAAAUUUUGUCCAAAGAGUGUAUAUACAACAGCCUAACUAAGUAGUGGAGAAAAGUUACAUUGAAAUUACAAGAUGCUGCUUGAUUUCCCCAGCUCAUUUGGGUAUGGUUGGAAUGCAGUCUUAACAGUAGCAGAUUUCCAUAGCUUCAUGAAACAUCUUCUCUUGCAUGAACUCCAAGGAUGAGUGAGAUUCAUUAUUCAUAGUAGUAAUGAAGGGUACUUCUGCUGCUACUAAGUUUUUCUGUUGUUGGAAAAUGCAUUUGUUACUCAAAACCCACUUUGAAAAGGAUGAGAAUGGUGCAGGAUGAGAUGGAGGAUGAAGAUGAGCAGCUGUUUCUUGAGAGAUUAUUGAUCUUCUGCUUUGAUGGCCAAGCAUUAGCAUUGCUGCUGUUGGUGCCAUUGAAUUGUGUUAUGAGUAAAGAGAUUGCUGAAUGAUGCAAUUGGUGUAUGUAGAGUUAAAUGAAAUUGUAGCUAGAUUUA